rnacentral:rRNA from 1 species
AGAGUUUGAUCCUGGCUCAGGGUUAACGCUGGCGGCGCGCAUAACACAUGCAAGUCGAGCGAGGGCUCUUCUCCCGCAAGGGAGGGGAGUUCCUAGCGGCGAACGGGUGAGUACCACGUGGGCAACCUUUCCUAUCGCGGGGGAUAACAGCGGGAAACCGCUGCUAAUACCGCAUGUCGUCAUCGGUCGCAUGGCCGGUGAAAAAAGCAGCAAUGCACGAUGGGGUGGGCCCGCGGCCUAUCAGCUAGUCGGUGGGGUAACGGCCUACCGAGGCGAUGACGGGUAGCUGGUCUGAGAGGACGACCAGCCACACGGGGACUGAGACACGGCCCCGACUCCUACGGGAGGCAGCAGUGAGGAAUCUUCCGCAAUGGGCGAAAGCCUGACGGAGCGACGCCGCGUGUGGGAUGAAGUCCUUCGGGAUGUAAACCACUGUUGGAGGGGAAGACUUCGACGGUACCCUCCGAGAAAGCCCCGGCUAACUACGUGCCAGCAGCCGCGGUAAUACGUAGGGGGCUAGCGUUAUCCAGAAUUACUGGGCGUAAAGCGCGUGUAGGCGGCUGGUU